UACGUAGGUGGCGAGCGUUGUCCGGAAUUACUGGGUGUAAAGGGCGUGUAGGCGGGGAUGUAAGUCAGAUGUGAAAUACCGUAGCUUAACUACGGGGCUGCAUCUGAAACUAUGUUUCUUGAGUGCCGGAGAGGAAAGCGGAAUUCCCAGUGUAGCGGUGAAAUGCGUAGAUAUUGGGAGGAACACCAGUGGCGAAGGCGGCUUUCUGGACGGUAACUGCCGCUGAGGCGCGAAAGCGUGGGGAGCAAACAGG
rnacentral:rRNA from 1 species